ACGUAGGGUGCGAGCGUUAAUCGGAAUUACUGGGCGUAAAGCGUGCGCAGGCGGUUUUGUAAGACCAAUGUGAAAUCCCCGGGCUUAACCUGGGAACUGCAUAGGUGACUGCAAGGCUAGAGUACGGCAGAGGGGGGUAGAAUUCCACGUGUAGCAGUGAAAUGCGUAGAUAUGUGGAGGAAUACCGAUGGCGAAGGCAGCCCCCUGGGUCGAUACUGACGCUCAUGCACGAAAGCGUGGGGAGCAAACAGGAUUAGAUACCCUGGUAGUCCACGCCCUAAACGAUGUCAACUAGGUGUUGGGGAAGGAGACUUUCUUAGUACCGCAGCUAACGCGUGAAGUUGACCGCCUGGGGAGUACGGUCGCAAGAUUA
rnacentral:rRNA from 1 species